UAGUAGGUAGGAUCAGGGUGCUAGCCGUGCCCUAUUCUGAAACCGGCUAUAAGCAGAGAUCAGCAACUACGAAAUAAAUUUCGUAAUUGGUGACUCCCGCAUAAUAUGUGAAAAUGAAAUCACGCCAAAGCGGGUGGUUAUAAACCUAAGAUCAUUCGAAGGAAUGAUCUGAAGGUUGAACUAUCGAAAUGGAUGAGGACCAGGAGGGAGCAAUCCUAAGAUAGAAUAGCUACGCUUCUUUGUCAACGUGUUGGAUUUCAUGUAUUUUGAGAUGGGAUUAUCGAUUAUGAUUGGAAUUUGUGGAUCUGCUA
rnacentral:SRP_RNA from 1 species